rnacentral:rRNA from 1 species
AGCCCUUCCAGAAGGUACCUUCUGGCAAGGGUACUGUACUAAACUAACUAAAGUGGGGGAUAGUGAGGGGAUAAAUUUUCUUAAGGAACUCGGCAAAAUCCCAAUGGCCCACCAGGGCAUAUUGGAACACGGGCCUCGACUGUUUACCAAAAACAUAGCCCUCGGCUAAUAUGAAAAUAGAUGUAUAGAGGGUGAUGCCUGCCCAAUGGUUGUAUCUAAAAGCGGUUGAUAAAAGUCGACCUUGUAAGGACAAUUGAAUGGCCGCGGUAACACUGACCGUGAUAAUGUAGCGUAAUCAAUAGCCAAUUAAUUGUUGGCCAGUAUGAAUGGCGCCACGAAGGCCCCACUGUCUUAAGGAAAUUCCCAGUGAAAUUGAAUUCGUAGUGAAGAUGCUACGUCCAAUUUGUUAGACGAAAAGACCCCGUUGAGCUUUACUGGAGCACUUAUAUGGCCCCGGCCUUCCCAUGCCUGGGAACCGGCCGAAUUUAAAUGGGCGGCUUAGAUUAUGUGGCAGCCCCCCGCUGGGGCAAAUGAAACACCACUCCCCCAUGUCAAAGGGGCUAACCCCCCCCUUGGGGGGGACAGUGUAAGUAGGACAGUUUGGUUGGGGCGACCGCCUUUUAAAAAGUAACGAAGGUGCGCUUAAGGUGUGCAAUUAAUGACUGAAGCCUGACUGCGAGGGGGGACACCCCACCAGACACCCCUAAGCCCGCCCGAAGGGCGGCGGUGGGGUGGG